rnacentral:rRNA from 1 species
UUCUGUAGGUGAACCUGCGGAGGGAUCAUUACCGAGUUUACAACUCCCAAACCCAAUGUGAACGUUACCAAACUGUUGCCUCGGCGGGAUCUCUGCCCCGGGUGCGUCGCAGCCCCGGACCAAGGCGCCCGCCGGAGGACCAACCAAAACUCUUUUUGUAUACCCCCUCGCGGGUUUUUUAUAAUCUGAGCCUUCUCGGCGCCUCUCGUAGGCGUUUCGAAAAUGAAUCAAAACUUUCAACAACGGAUCUCUUGGUUCUGGCAUCGAUGAAGAACGCAGCGAAAUGCGAUAAGUAAUGUGAAUUGCAGAAUUCAGUGAAUCAUCGAAUCUUUGAACGCACAUUGCGCCCGCCAGUAUUCUGGCGGGCAUGCCUGUCCGAGCGUCAUUUCAACCCUCGAACCCCUCCGGGGGGUCGGCGUUGGGGAUCGGCCCUCCCUUAGCGGGUGGCCGUCUCCGAAAUACAGUGGCGGUCUCGCCGCAGCCUCUCCUGCGCAGUAGUUUGCACACUCGCAUCGGGAGCGCGGCGCGUCCACAGCCGUUAAACUA